UUUAUUUACUGUUUGUCUUCUGUGUGACAGCACUCUAUGAUGGUGUAAAGAAGCAGGUGGGCCGCAUGAUUGCUGUCUGUCUAGUACAUGGGGUUGUAGAGACACAUUUUUUCAGAGGCUAUACAGGCAAGUGUGUGGCCUACAAUCUCCUGUGCCAGAACUGAAAGAAAUUGCGGAAUAUGACUUCAGAGAGAAGUUGGAGAAGUACAAUAAACAUUCUAAGAUCCAGUUAGCACAAACUGUUGACGAGGCACAGGAAGCGGUCAUGUUGGGUCCAGUGCGAUACAUUCGUACAUUGGAGAGGGAUGCCCUGGUGGAGUCAGCCACAAAGUUCUACUUAGAAAGCAGGAUACGGGAUGCUCUUGAGCAGUGAGUUUCCAUAUAUCUAAGGUAUCUCAAGUUUAGUUAAAUUCUUCAGGGAAAAUAAAUUUACAUUUUUGACUUUAUAAAUUCAAAGAGGGUCUGGAGUGUCUAGGUCUCCUGCCUUCCAUGAAUAGACACUCAAGCCUCUUCAGAGAGGUUUCCAUCUAUGCUGAGAAAACUAUUUUUGCCACAGACAUAGCUUCUCUCUUCAAAGCAGAGUGCUCCCCACCUGGUACCAGUCAAAGAGCAAUGAGAGAAGAGUCAUGUUUCUGGAGGGACUGGCAUCUGGAGGUGGAAGGUUAGAUGCAAAACCAUGAUCAUUGAAGUAAUACAGCCCACAUCAGUAAAAUAUCACUUAUUCACUCUCACAACUGUGGGACAGCAGUUUAUAGCCUUAUUCUUCCAUAGGCCCCCUAAGAAUGUAAUAGAUCAAUUAAAUCCCAAACUACUUUCACUUAGAGUAUUGUGUUCUCCAAUAAGCAUUACUUAUGGACUUUAAUGUCACCCCCUUCAAUUUUUUCAGGGGAGAACACACCCUUUAACCAUGGAGAAGGUAUUAAUUUUCACUUUGGGGGCUUCAACAUUCCUAGGCUGGGAUUGCCAGUGGAGCCACAGCUACAGGCUACAGUUCUAUCUGCUACCACGCCAAGUCUAGGUCCAAGAGGCUUCUAAACAGAUUCUACCCCCAAGCCAUAAGACUCCUGAACAUCUAAUCAAAUGCCUACCCAGACUAUUUGCUGCUACUCUAUCUAUGCAUAGUCACGUUAGUAUCUCUACCUACAUGUUUAUAUUAACUAUUUUCUUUCUUUCUUUGUCGUUUAAAAAAAACUGCAUUGUUGGUUAAGGGCUUGUAAGUAAGAAUUUCACUGUAAGGUCUACCUACACCUGUUGUAUUUGGCGCAUGUGACAAAUACAAUUUGAUUUAAAGAUAAUUAAUUUAAGGGGAAAUAUCCAACAUGUUUAUCACAUGACUACCUAGUAAGUUGGGAAUACUGCAGCCAAUGUUAAUUGGUGAUGUGUCCUAUAAGAAUUGAUAUUAUGAAAGUUUCCGAAAGGAUUGUCCGUCAGCAAAAAAAAGUUGUGUAGUGAAAGUUUUCAAAAGCAUUACAACCAACCAGAAUCAAUUGAACCCAGUAAUACAUAAUGCAGCUUUAAUAUUUGAAAAAAUGUAUGAUUUCUUAGUAGAGUGGGUAAACUGAGCAUUAUGCAAAGUAGUUAAGGCAUGUAUGUCAAGGGACUAUGUUACAAGAGAUCAUACGUUUCCUAUGUGCAAUGUUACCAUAAAUAAAUCUUACAGUAAAUAUGGACCACAUUUCAUUUACAUGUGUUAUGGCAAUAAAAACCGUAGUUGGUACAUAGGUCAUGGUGCAGCAAGUUUGAGGGUAGUGGAGAAGCACAAGUGGGACUUUUUGAGUAAAGUAACUGAGGGCAGAAAAGGAUAUCAGGGUGCCCAGGAACUUGAAGCUGCUGAUAAUCUCCAUGUACAGUAGAUGGGAGAAUGGUCAAGUAUCACCAUCGACUUUUUUUUGCUUACGCUGAGACUGUUGUCCUAUCACCAUUAUGUCAGGUCCCACAGCUCCUUCAUGUACUCAUGAUCACUGGUGAUCAGGUGUGCCAUGGUAGUGUCGUGUCCAUUCUGGGGAUACACAUUCUUGUGAUAAUGUAA